CCUACGGGUGGCAGCAGUGGGGGAUAUUGCACAAUGGGGGGAACCCUGAUGCAGCGACGCCGCGUGGGUGAAGAAGCGCCUCGGCGCGUAAAGCCCUGUCAGCAGGGAAGAAAAUGACGGUACCUGAAGAAGAAGCCCCGGCUAACUACGUGCCAGCAGCCGCGGUAAUACGUAGGGGGCAAGCGUUAUCCGGAUUUACUGGGUGUAAAGGGGGCGCAGCCGGGGAUGCAAGCCAGGAGUGAAAGCCCGGGGCUCAACCUCGGGACUGCUCUUGGAACUGCGUGGCUGGAGUGCAGGAGGGGCAGGCGGAAUGCGUGGUGUAGCGGUGAAAUGCGUAGAUAUCAGGAAGAACACCGGUGGCGAAGGCGGCCUGCUGGACUGCAACUGACGUUGAGGCCCGAAAGCGUGGGGAGCGAACAGGAUUAGAUACCCUGGUAGUC
rnacentral:rRNA from 1 species